GGCCGGUUAGCUCAGUUGGUUAGAGUGUGGUGCUAAUAACACCAAGGUCAUGGGUUUGAUCCCCGUCCUGGCUA